AGGUGUUGGGACUUUGAUGGGAAAAAGGUGAAGCAAAAUGUGGUAAACAGGAAUGAAAAGCCAGAAUGAAUAAAGGAAGCCUUCAUUGUUCUGACUGGGGCCUGAGCAGUGAGCAGAAUGGAAUGUCUAUCAGGACAGCCGUGGAUUUCCACAGCUUCCUGCUUUCGUCAGCUUCAGCUUAACAUCUAUUAUUGUGAAGAGUAGGGUCUUCCAAGUUUAUAAGAAGAAUCAGAUUUCCAAGAGCAAUUUACCCCUUUCUUCAUUCUGUUAGGCAUUAUUUGGAAUGGCUUUUCUUCGAUGAAUUCAAUUAACAGGUGUGAGCCACUGCACCCAGCCUAAAGAGAAUAUUUUCUCAAUUAAAAAUACUAUAGUCUUCAGAAAAGAAUCAAUUAAAGUGAUGAGAAAUUUCAAAUAUAUUAACUACAAACUGCAACUUUGAAAAAUAUUGCAGGCAAUUUUAUUAAGUUCUACAGAGAAAUGUCAGUAACAUAGUAUUAGAAAUAAAUAUAGCUGAUAAACAGAUUAAAGUUCAUGAAUAUAUACCAAGAAUAAUUAUUCUGCUUAUGUAAUUUUAAUUUUGGAAAAUCAUUUUGAAAAGUUUGUUACAUGAAAUGUUAUUUUUAAAAGAAUUUCAUAUUUGAAAAUAGUUUGAAUAUAUAAUUUUUAAAUAUUUUCAAUGCAAUUAGUCCAAUUUUCUGAUCAAUAAAUAACUAUCUUUUAAAAGUA
rnacentral:antisense_RNA from 1 species